rnacentral:rRNA from 1 species
UACGGGGGGGGCAAGCGUUGCUCGGAAUCACUGGGCGUAAAGCGCACGUAGGCGGAUCUUUAAGUCAGGGGUGAAAUCCCAAGGCUCAACCUUGGAACUGCCUUUGAUACUGGGGAUCUCGAGUCCGGAAGAGGUGAGUGGAACUGCGAGUGUAGAGGUGAAAUUCGUAGAUAUUCGCAAGAACACCAGUGGCGAAGGCGGCUCACUGGUCCGGUACUGACGCUGAGGUGCGAAAGCGUGGGGAGCAAACAGG